AUACGUAGGGGGCAAGCGUUAUCCGGAUUUACUGGGUGUAAAGGGAGCGUAGACGGCGAUGCAAGUCUGAAGUGAAAACCCGGGGCUCAACCCCGUGGACUGCUUUGGAAACUGUGUUGCUGGAGUGCAGGAGAGGUGAGUGGAAUUCCUAGUGUAGCGGUGAAAUGCGUAGAUAUUAGGAGGAACACCAGUGGCGAAGGCGGCUCACUGGACUUUAACUGACGUUGAGGCUCGAAAGCGUGGGGAGCAAACAGGAUUAGAUACCCGGGUAGUCCACGCCGUAAACGAUGAAUGCUAGGUGUCGGGGGGCAAAGCCCUUCGGUGCCGCCGCUAACGCAUUAAGCAUUCCACCUGGGGAGUACGUUCGCAAGAAUGAAACUCAAAUGAAUUGACGGGG
rnacentral:rRNA from 1 species